rnacentral:misc_RNA from 1 species
GGAGAAAGCAUUGGGUCUCUUUUUAACAGCAAAAAGAAACCUAACAAUAAUGCCGCUUCAAAAUCUCAGCCUCUCAAAAAAGCUAAGAUUAAGAAAGAAGAAAAAGAUGAUGAUUUCGAAGAACCCAUUUCGAAAAAGAGUCCAAAAAUUGUUAAGCCCAAGAAGGAAGAACCUUCACCCGUGUCAAAGAAAAGUUCGAGUAGAACUGAUAAAAAAGUUGUAAAGAAAGAGGAAGAGGAUAAGAAGAAAGGAACCAAAAAUGGAGACACCGUUGUGAAGAAGAAGGAAAAGAAAGUUUAUGAUUUGCCUGGACAGAGAGACGCUCCUGAGGAAAGAGACCCUUUAAGGAUUUUCUAUGAAUCCUUGUAUCAGCAAGUGCCAGAAAGUGAACUAGCAGCUAUUUGGAUGAUGGAGUCAGGUUUGCUUCCAAAGGACUUGGCGAAGAAAGUUUUUGAGAAGAAACAAAAGAAGGCCCAGCAGCUAAAGC